rnacentral:rRNA from 1 species
UACGGAGGGUGCAAGCGUUAUCCGGAUUCACUGGGUUUAAAGGGUGCGUAGGCGGGCAGGUAAGUCCGUGGUGAAAUCUCUGAGCUUAACUCAGAAACUGCCAUGGAUACUAUUUGUCUUGAAUAUUGUGGAGGUAAGCGGAAUAUGUCAUGUAGCGGUGAAAUGCUUAGAUAUGACAUAGAACACCAAUUGCGAAGGCAGCUUACUACACAGUAAUUGACGCUGAGGCACGAAAGCGUGGGGACCAAACAGG